rnacentral:misc_RNA from 1 species
AAGUCGUAACAAGGUUUCCGUAGGUGAACCUGCGGAAGGAUCAUUAUUGAAUAUUUGAAGAGGUUGUUGCUGGUCUCUAUUGGGAUAUUGUGCACGCCUCGUUCAAAAAUCCAACCUUUACACCCCUGUGCAUCAUUUGUAGGGUCGCGGCCGUCAGGUCUGCGCUCUAUGUUUAUCACAAACUCUGUAGUAUGUGUAGAAUGACAUUGCGUAUAACGCAUCUAUAUACAACUUUCAGCAACGGAUCUCUUGGCUCUC